UCGAGGGGCAGCGGGGCGGCAGGCUUGCCUGCCGCCGCCGGCGACCGCCGCUCAGGUGAGUAACACGUAUGCAACCUGCCCGUGGCAGGGGGAUAAGCGGGGGAAACCCCGUCUAAUACCGCGUAACGCGGCCUAGGGACAUCCCAAGGCCGCCAAAGGGAGCAAUCCCGGCCACGGAUGGGCAUGCGGCGCAUUAGCUAGUCGGCGGGGUAACGGCCCACCGAGGCGACGAUGCGUAGGGGUUCUGAGAGGAAGGCCCCCCACACUGGUACUGAGACACGGACCAGACUCCUACGGGAGGCAGCAGUGAGGAAUAUUGGUCAAUGGGCGCGAGCCUGAACCAGCCAAGUCGCGUGAGGGAGGACGGCCCUACGGGUUGUAAACCUCUUUUGCCGGGGAGCAACGGGCGCCACGUGUGGCGCCACUGAGAGUACCCGGAGAAAAGGCAUCGGCUAACUCCGUGCCAGCAGCCGCGGUAAUACGGAGGAUGCGAGCGUUAUCCGGAUUUAUUGGGUUUAAAGGGUGCGUAGGCGGAUCGUUAAGUCAGUGGUCAAAUUGAGGGGCUCAACCCCUUCCCGCCAUUGAAACUGGCGAUCUUGAGUGGAAGAGAAGUAUGCGGAAUGCGUGGUGUAGCGGUGAAAUGCAUAGAUAUCACGCAGAACCCCGAUUGCGAAGGCAGCAUGCCGGCUUCCUACUGACGCUGAAGCACGAAAGCGUGGGGAUCGAACAGGAUUAGAUACCCUGGUAGUCCACGCGGUAAACGAUGAGCGCUAGGUGUCCGGGGGGAAUGGCCCCUGGGUGCCACAGCGAAAGCGUUAAGCGCUCCACCUGGGGAGUACGCCGGCAACGGUGAAACUCAAAGGAAUUGACGGGGGCCCGCACAAGCGGAGGAACAUGUGGUUUAAUU
rnacentral:rRNA from 1 species